rfam:Colletotrichum sublineola strain TX430BB Scaffolds1513.1, whole genome shotgun sequence.
ACCCCAGUGUCUUUGUCAGGAAUCCUUUCGCACAUUCGUUGCCCCCAAUGGAAGGGUCUCCGUUAAACACUGGGAAAAUUGAGGGCCGUCUCGCUGUCCUGGUUCUCGGACCAGGGCUGAUGGGGUCCGUUUUGGAUCUCCCAUCAUGAGAUGGAAUUGCAUCACUUUGAGUUGAAGUCUGCCAGUGCUCUUCCGAGCCUCUCCAUGGCGGUAUUUCUUAGUAGCGAAGCAUACAUAC